rnacentral:rRNA from 1 species
UACAGAGGUCUCAAGCGUUGUUCGGAUUCAUUGGGCGUAAAGGGUGCGUAGGCGGCGCGGUAAGUCGGGUGUGAAAUCUCGGAGCUUAACUCGGAAAGGUCAACUGAUACUGUGCGACUAGAGUGCAGAAGGGGCAACUGGAAUUCUCGGUGUAGCGGUGAAAUGCGUAGAUAUCGAGAGGAACACCUGCGGCGAAGGCGGGUUGCUGGGCUGACACUGACGCUGAUGCGCGAAAGCCAGGGGAGCGAACGGG